rnacentral:rRNA from 1 species
CCUACGGGUGGCAGCAGUGAGGGAUAUUGGUCAAUGGGGGAAACCCUGAACCAGCAACGCCGCGUGAGGGAAGACGGUUUUCGGAUUGUAAACCUCUGUCCUCUGUGAAGAUAAUGACGGUAGCAGAGGAGGAAGCUCCGGCUAACUACGUGCCAGCAGCCGCGGUAAUACGUAGGGAGCAAGCGUUGUCCGGAUUUACUGGGUGUAAAGGGUGCGUAGGCGGCCUUGCAAGUCAGAAGUGAAAUCCAUGGGCUUAACCCAGGAACUGCUUUUGAAACUGUAGGGCUGGAGUGAAGUAGAGGAAGGUGGAAUUCCGGGGGUAGUGGUGAAAUGCGUAGAUAUCUGGAGGAAGAACAGUGGAGAAGGCGGGCGCCGGGACUUUAAAUGACGCUGAGGUGCGAAAGCGUGGGGAGCAAACAGGAUUAGAUACCCGAGUAGUC